UAUAGCAGCAAUAUCACCCUGAAGCCCAAGACUGGUCACCCACUGAAGCUAAGCAGGGUUGAGCCUGGUUAGUACCUGGAUGCGAGACCUCCUGGGAAAACUAGGUUGCUGCUGGAA
rnacentral:rRNA from 1 species